GAAGGAGGUGAUGGAGGGAUAAAGAGAGGAAGGAGGUGAUGGAGGGAUAAAGAGAGGAAGGAGGAGAUGGAGGGAUAAAGAGAAGGAGGAGGAGAUGGAGGGAUAAAGAGAGGAAGGAGGAGAUGGAGGGAUAAAGAGAGGAAGGAGGAGAUGGAGGGAUAAAGAGAAGGAGGAGAUGGAGGGAUAAAGAGAAGGAGGAGAUGGAGGGAUAAAGAGAAGGAGGAGAUGGAGGGAUAAAGAGAAGGAGGAGAUGGAGGGAUAAAGAGAGGAAGGAGGAGAUGGAGGGAUAAAGAGAGGAAGGAGGAGAUGGAGGGAUAAAGAGAAGGAGGAGAUGGAGGGAUAAAGAGAGGAAGGAGGAGAUGGAGGGAUAAAGAGAGGAAGGAGGAGAUGGAGGGAUAAAGAGAGGAAGGAGGAGAUGGAGGGAUAAAGAGAGGAAGGAGGAGAUGGAGGGAUAAAGAGAGGAAGGAGGAGAUGGAGGGAUAAAGAGAGGAAGGAGGAGAUGGAGGGAUAAAGAAGAGAGGAAGGAGGAGAUGGAGGGAUAAAGAGAGGAAGGAGGUGAUGGAGGGAUAAAGAGAAGGAGGAGAUGGAGGGAUAAAGAGAAGGAGGAGAUGGAGGGAUAAAGAGAGGAAGGAGGAGAUGGAGGGAUAAAGAGAGGAAGGAGGUGAUGGAGGACUAAAGAGAGGAAGGAGG